rnacentral:rRNA from 1 species
GUGGGGAAUCUUGCGCAAUGGGCGAAAGCCUGAUCCAGCCAUGCCGCGUGUGUGAAGAAGGUCUUCGGAUUGUAAAGCACUUUAAGUUGGGAGGAAGGGUAGUAACCUAAUACGUUGCUACUUUGACGUUACCGACAGAAUAAGCACCGGCUAACUUCGUGCCAGCAGCCGCGGUAAUACGAAGGGUGCAAGCGUUAAUCGGAAUUACUGGGCGUAAAGCGCGCGUAGGUGGUUCAGUAAGUUGGAAGUGAAAUCCCCGGGCUCAACCUGGGAACUGCUUUCAAAACUGCUGAGCUAGAGUACGGUAGAGGGUGGUGGAAUUUCCUGUGUAGCGGUGAAAUGCGUAGAUAUAGGAAGGAACACCAGUGGCGAAGGCGACCACCUGGACUGAUACUGACACUGAGGUGCGAAAGCGUGGGGAGCAAACAGGAUUAGAAACCCAAGUAGUCC